UUUCCGUAGGUGAACCUGCGGAAGGAUCAUCACUGAGUUUUGAAUGAAGUUGUUCUGGUCUUUCGGGGCAAGUGAACGCUUCUCUCAAUCCAUCUUACACCUGUGCACCUAUCGGGGAAGACUUGGAUCUAAGUUGGGUCACGACGGCGAUCUACAGUCUCCUCUUUAUACCAAAUAACAGUUUUAGAAAGUCUUUUUUGCUUGAUGCAAACUUAAAUAAAUACAACUUUCAGCAACGGAUCUCUUGGCUCUC
rnacentral:misc_RNA from 1 species